rnacentral:rRNA from 1 species
UACGUAGGGUGCAAGCGUUGUCCGGAAUUAUUGGGCGUAAAGAGCUCGUAGGCGGUUUGUUGCGUCGGCUGUGAAAUCCCGAGGCUCAACCUCGGGUCUGCAGUCGAUACGAGCAAACUAGAGUGUUGCAGGGGAGACUGGAAUUCCUGGUGUAGCGGUGAAAUGCGUAGAGAUCAGGAAGAACACCAAUGGCGAAGGCAGCUCUCUGGGACGGUACUGACGCUGAGACGCGAAAGCGUGGGGAGCGAACAGG